AACAAAGGGGAAAACAGUUUAAAAAUUCACUGGUUCUAAAACUGUAUGGUUUAUAUUUCCACUGGCAACAGGGCUGAUCUUACUUGAAAGCAGAAAGGAAAGAUUCCUGUGUGUUCCCGUUUACUGUUAUGUAUGUGCAGUAUAUAUACCAGAUGCCCUGUGCUACCCUGUUCUAACUUCCUGUCUGUCCUUGGAGCAGACAGACACGCGUCUGAACAUCAGAGAGUAACCAGAUCCCCCUAUGACUCACUUGGUGUGUGUGUAUGCUGCACCUCCUGUACACCCUUGUUGUACACAUUGCGUUAGUCACACACCACGAACGCCCUCCGACCCCAGUGUGCCUCUCCUCACACUCAGACGCACUUUUAUUCACAUCUGGACAGGUGUGGCGGAUUUGUGGUCAUGAGACUGCCAUCUCCUCAAGGCAGCUGCCUGAAGACUUACCAGCAGGGCACUGGUGGACACGAGCUCACAUUCUCUGCGGAAGUGUUCUCAAACUCCAAGACAGCAUCCUCAGGACUUGCCCUGAGAACACGCUGAGCAUCCAUUGUUAACAUAGCAUCCCACGGGACUCUAUGGAGCUGCGAGAUCCUCGGCAUGGCAUGUAACAGGAUAAGGAAAUGAACACUGCUCUGCCACCUCAGACUCCGGUCAUCUUCACUCUGGGGAAAGAUGUAACUGAAGCUAACUCCACCUGCCAUACCGAAGACGCCUUCCUACCCAUCCUCAGCAACUCAGAGCCCUUCACUGUGUUCAAGCCUCCCUCUAAAUCAGUAGUCACUAUCUCACAUGCAGUGAAUCCUGGGAAAUAUUUAUUCUUUGUUGUCUGUUUCCUGCACUCAGCAUGUGUGCUCUACAAGGGGAGGGAAUUUAAACAUUUAUUUAUUUACUUGUUUUUUACAUAGGGUCUCUCUAUGUAGUCCUGAAUAUCCUGGAGCCCGCUAUGAAGACCAAGGUGGUCUACAAAUCACAGAGAUCUUCUUGCCUCUGCCUCCUGAAUGCUAGGAUUAAAGGUAUACAUGCAGGCAAACCACCAAUGCAAAUAAAAUCAAGAUAAAUAAAUCACUGAAAACUAAUGUUAUUCCUCCUGGUGCGGGGUAGAUCUCUUUAAUCCUAGCAUUUAGGAUUAAAUGCUACACUGAGGUAGGUGGUCUCAGCCUGAUAUACAUAAGUUCUAGGUUACACAGUGCUAAUAAAUAGUAAAACCCU